ensembl:rRNA 5S_rRNA 5S ribosomal RNA
GUCUAUGGCCAUGGUACCCAGAACAAGCCCAGUCCUGUCUGAUUUCGGAAGCUAAGCAGGGUCAGGCCUUGUUAGUACUUAGAUGGGAGAGCAUCUAGGAAGACCAGGUGCUGCAGGCA